rnacentral:rRNA from 1 species
AUACGUAGGGGGCGAGCGUUAUCCGGAAUUAUUGGGCGUAAAGAGUACGUAGGUGGUUUUGUAAGCGUGAGGUGAAAGCCCGGGGCUUAACUCCGGCGAGCCUCACGAACUGCAAGACUUGAGUGCAGGAGGGGAAAGUGGAAUUCCUAGUGUAGCGGUGAAAUGCGUAGAUAUUAGGAGGAACACCGGUGGCGAAGGCGACUUUCUGGACUGUAACUGACACUGAGGUACGAAAGCGUGGGGAGCAAACAGGAUUAGAUACCCUGGUAGUCCACGCCGUAAACGAUGAGCACUAGUUGUUGGGACCGAGAGGUUUCGGUGACGCAGUUAACGCAAUAAGUGCUCCGCCUGGGGAGUACGCACGCAAGUGUGAAACUCAAAUGAAUUGACGGGG